UUUAUGGUUUGAAUUAUAUUUUCCUUUAUGUUAACGUCUAUUUAUGGAAGCUGAGAUUGUUUUUUUUUUUUCUCUCCCUUUAGGUACUGACAGAAAGAUGUCUUUUCAAAUAAACUUUCUUAAUAAAUCCAGAAGCAGAACUCUCAGCUCCUUCUCCAGCACCACGCCUGCCUGCAUGUUGCCAUCUUCCUGCCAUGAUGAUAAUGGACUAAGCCUCUGAACUAGACACCAAAGCUCCCACUAUACCAGCCGGAGAGCUUGCCCUGGUGGCACAGGCUCAGGUUCAGGGCUCUGAGUUCACCCACCCCACCAUCUAUGACCUGCUGGAGCAUGUGAAUCGACCAGUCUUGCAGGUCCAAAGCGGCAGGAUCUCUGUGACACAGGGCAACAGGACAUCUUCGAAGAGUCCCUAUGAGGUUCCAGUAUUGAUAGUGUAGCAGAAGCCAGAGGCCCGGAGCCAGACCAGCGACACUCACUGCAAAGAGCAUUUGCAAGUAAAGAUUGUGGACGAAGGGGUGUGCUGUGGGACACCCGAGGACACACCACAGCUUCCAUGAGAGAUGCUUUAUUUUCCUUUCUUAUUUUCUUUUGGAGUGGUGUUUGCAAGAGUACAUGGUGGAUAUGGAGGGAUCGGGAAA